rnacentral:rRNA from 2 species
UACGUAGGGGGCAAGCGUUAUCCGGAUUUACUGGGUGUAAAGGGAGCGCAGACGGCAAUGCAAGUCUGAAGUGAAAGGCGUGGGCUCAACCCAUGAACUGCUUUGGAAACUGUAUAGCUUGAGUGUCGGAGGGGUAAGCGGAAUUCCUAGUGUAGCGGUGAAAUGCGUAGAUAUUAGGAGGAACACCGGAGGCGAAGGCGGCUUACUGGACGACAACUGACGUUGAGGCUCGAAGGCGUGGGGAGCAAAC